AUUGAUUGGUGCUUGCAUCAUGAUUUACAUUUGAGUGAGUGGCGAACUGGUGAGUAACACGUGGGAAACCUGCCCAGAAGCGGGGGAUAACACCUGGAAACAGAUGCUAAUACCGCAUAACAACUUGGACCGCAUGGUCCGAGCUUGAAAGAUGGCUUCGGCUAUCACUUUUGGAUGGUCCCGCGGCGUAUUAGCUAGAUGGUGGGGUAACGGCUCACCAUGGCAAUGAUACGUAGCCGACCUGAGAGGGUAAUCGGCCACAUUGGGACUGAGACACGGCCCAAACUCCUACGGGAGGCAGCAGUAGGGAAUCUUCCACAAUGGACGAAAGUCUGAUGGAGCAACGCCGCGUGAGUGAAGAAGGGUUUCGGCUCGUAAAACUCUGUUGUUAAAGAAGAACAUAUCUGAGAGUAACUGUUCAGGUAUUGACGGUAUUUAACCAGAAAGCCACGGCUAACUACGUGCCAGCAGCCGCGGUAAUACGUAGGUGGCAAGCGUUGUCCGGAUUUAUUGGGCGUAAAGCGAGCGCAGGCGGUUUUUUAAGUCUGAUGUGAAAGCCUUCGGCUCAACCGAAGAAGUGCAUCGGAAACUGGGAAACUUGAGUGCAGAAGAGGACAGUGGAACUCCAUGUGUAGCGGUGAAAUGCGUAGAUAUAUGGAAGAACACCAGUGGCGAAGGCGGCUGUCUGGUCUGUAACUGACGCUGAGGCUCGAAAGUAUGGGUAGCAAACAGGAUUAGAUACCCUGGUAGUCCAUACCGUAAACGAUGAAUGCUAAGUGUUGGAGGGUUUCCGCCCUUCAGUGCUGCAGCUAACGCAUUAAGCAUUCCGCCUGGGGAGUACGGCCGCAAGGCUGAAACUCAAAGGAAUUGACGGGGGCCCGCACAAGCGGUGGAGCAUGUGGUUUAAUUCGAAGCUACGCGAAGAACCUUACCAGGUCUUGACAUACUAUGCAAAUCUAAGAGAUUAGACGUUCCCUUCGGGGACAUGGAUACAGGUGGUGCAUGGUUGUCGUCAGCUCGUGUCGUGAGAUGUUGGGUUAAGUCCCGCAACGAGCGCAACCCUUAUUAUCAGUUGCCAGCAUUAAGUUGGGCACUCUGGUGAGACUGCCGGUGACAAACCGGAGGAAGGUGGGGAUGACGUCAAAUCAUCAUGCCCCUUAUGACCUGGGCUACACACGUGCUACAAUGGAUGGUACAACGAGUUGCGAACUCGCGAGAGUAAGCUAAUCUCUUAAAGCCAUUCUCAGUUCGGAUUGUAGGCUGCAACUCGCCUACAUGAAGUCGGAAUCGCUAGUAAUCGCGGAUCAGCAUGCCGCGGUGAAUACGUUCCCGGGCCUUGUACACACCGCCCGUCACACCAUGAGAGUUUGUAACACCCAAAGUCGGUGGGGUAACCUUUUAGGAA
rnacentral:rRNA from 1 species